rnacentral:Y_RNA from 1 species
GGCUGGUCUGAGCACAGUGGUGUUUAAAACAAGUGAUCACAACCAGUUACAGAUUUAUUUUUCCUUCUCCAUUCCCACUUCUUCACUCAACUAUCCUUAA